rnacentral:rRNA from 1 species
AGCCUGAUGCAGCCACGCCGCGUGCGGGAUGAAGGCCUUCGGGUUGUAAACCGCUUUCAGCAGGGACGAAGUGACGGUACCUGUACAUUAAGGCGCGGACAACUACGUGCCAGCAGCCGCGGGGACACGUAGGGGCCAAGCGUUGUCCGGAUUUAUUGGGAGUUAACAUUCGUAGGCGCUUGAGGAUGUCGCUUGUGAAAACUUGGUGCGUCACCCAGAUAUGGCAUCCCGAUACUGCUGGUACUUGCUUUAGCUAAGGUAGCGGGGAAUUCCUAGGGUAGAGGGGAAUUGGAAUUUAUUUUGUAAGGAACACCUGCGGAGAAGUGGCCACUCUGGCCCGAGGCUGACGCUAACCCCUGAAAUGAUGCUGAGCCUAAGGGAUUAAAUCCCCGGGAGCUCCACGCCUUAAAUAUUGUGCACUACGAGUGGGUUUCAACCAACGACUUCCCGUCCGUCGCUAAGACAUUAUUGCCCCCCCCUGGGCAGUACGGCCCCACCGCUAGGCUCAAAGGGAUUUCACGG